rnacentral:lncRNA from 1 species
CAGCCAAGAGCAGAAACCCCACCUGUGGCUAAUUAUAACUUGAGCAGUUGCAUGCAGGCAUGAGGUAUUUAUUUACAAAUCUGUGCUUUACAAAAUGCUAACCAAAUGUAGUAUUUUUAUUUCCUGGCCUCUCUCUGAUGAAAAAAGAAAAGCCAGCAAGAAGGAAGGAAAGAAGGAAGAAGAAGAAACAAGAGUCCUACUUUACUGCUGAGGAAACUGGGGAAUCUGUUCCUUUGUUCACCGCUGAGUCUGUAAUCUUCCUCUACCACCAUCAUAGAAGGAGAAUUUGUUCCCAGAGAGGGCCAGGCAUCGCUUCCUCCUCUGAGCGCUGUCAGGCAGAAGUCCAAAAUGAAACUGGGUCACAGCCUGUGGACCUGAAUAUGUGGAGGACUACCUACCUGUGGGAGGACAGAAUCAUGCAGCCCCUGAAGACCACCUAGUCUGCCUUGUUGUUUUACCAAGAGGGAAAACUGAGACCCUGGAGGCAAAGCGAUUUGUGCAGAGAACUUGAGCUGCUGGAGUAAGUAGAUUCUUCUUCCCUCAUCCCUUCCCUACCUCCAUAACCAUCCUUCCCAACACACAUUUACUGUGUGCCCCGUACUUGCAGUGGGCUGGAGAGGGCACAAAGAGAAGUGGGAAUUGCAACCACUCUGUCUAUGUACCACACUCUACACUAUACUCAACCGCUGCUGCAGAAACAACCAUGACUGACUCCCAGCCCCCAGAGGGAGAGAAGCCAUGCAUGAUAAGUGACAAUGUUUACAACGUAGAACAUGUGUCAAAGGGGCAAUUGAGGGCAGCACAGGUGAGUUCAGGUUGUCAUAGACAGGUUUUAGGGGAGGAAGGCGUGAGCCUGUGCUUAGCAGCCUUUGUCAAGGCCCAGCCAAUGGAUUAAAGAAGGAAGAUCGCCAAGGGCAAAUGGCCAAUGGGACUGCUUGCCCCUUGGAAGCAGCCCUACCAUCCAUCCAGCUCCCCCAACAGUCUGUGACUUUAAUAGAAAUGCAUCCAUAGGUUUCUAUAAAAUUACGAGCAAAAGAAGUUGUAUAAAAAUGGGAGAGGGUCUUUGUUCAUCAAGGGAGAUGCUAGAUGAGUGUGAAGUUCCUAG